rnacentral:rRNA from 1 species
GAACGCUGGCGGCAUGCCUAACACAUGCAAGUCGAACGGUAACGCGGAGAGCUUGCUCUCUGGCGACGAGUGGCGGACGGGUGAGUAAUACUUAGGAAUCUACCCAGUAGUGGGGGACAACAUUCGGAAACGGAUGCUAAUACCGCAUACGCACUACGGUGGAAAGUGGGGGACCUUCGGGGCCUCACGCUAUUGGAUGAGCCUAAGUCGGAUUAGCUUGUUGAUGAGGUAAUGGCUCACCAAGGCGACGAUCCGUAGCUGGUCUGAGAGGACGAUCAGCCACACUGGGACUGAGACACGGCCCAGACUCCUACGGGAGGCAGCAGUGGGGAAUAUUGGACAAUGGGCGCAAGCCUGAUCCAGCAAUGCCGCGUGUGUGAAGAAGGCCUGCGGGUUGUAAAGCACUUUCAGUAGAGAAGAAAAGCCUAGGGAUAAUACCCCUGAGUCUUGACGUAACCUACAGAAGAAGCACCGGCUAACUCCGUG